rnacentral:lncRNA from 1 species
GCUUGAAAAGGUUCUCAUCAGGAAGGGUGGAGGCAACAUGGUUUGUACUCUUGGAAGGGACAAGGCGUCCUCGGCAGAGCGAUCGCUCCUCUCACUGCAGCCUCUGUCCUGCACCCUGUAAACAGAGGAACUGGAGAGGCAGGACAGGAAGGCAAAGCCCCGUCAGAGUCCUGUGCCGCUCAAAGAGAUAAACAAGAACUCAAGAAAUGAGAAGAUUCUUAAGGUGAUGGCUCAACGCGUGAGGAAAUACGGGGCAAAAGGCAGCUAUCAAGGAGAGGAAGCUGGAGAAGGGCAGGCUGCUCCGAGCAGUGAGGUCAGCACUGCAAAAAUAGCACGGGGAAGCUUCCUGCAGGCAGCCAGCCGCGAGCACACAUGGCCCUGUGCUCCUCCUGCACACAGAUGUCUGUAGAAGAGCAGGUAUGCAUGGAAGCUCUGUGCCCUUGGCAAGCAGCCCCAAGCGUGAGCAUGGAGAUGGAGAGGGUGAG